rnacentral:lncRNA from 1 species
UCCUCUUGAAUUAAUUAAUACAAAUAACUCUAAAUUAAUUAAUACAAAAAUUGCAGUCUUCUUCCUCUUAAUAAAUUUCUAAUCUGCAAAAUCCUAACACCACUAACCAACACUCCGCCACGGUCGACCCACCACCAACCCGCCUCUCACUCUCUCUGAUAGACAUACAAACACAAUAAUAAAGAAAAACAAACAUGGACUGCAACUCUAGUGCUAGUGUUUGCCUAACAUUUACUUGCUUCAUCUCUAUCUUGCUCGCCCAUUCUGUUCUUCAACUUGAGGCCUCCCAUAUUAAUACUAAUAUUCAUCUUCACAGAUUAACCAUUCAAACUGAUCAAUCUCCAAAUCAAAUUUACAGAACUUCUUAUCAUUUUCAAACUGGAUGAAUGGUACGUAGUAUCUUUUCAAUUUCUCUAUCCUCUUCAAUUGAUUCAUUUCCAGAAUAUUCAACUAGUAAUCUAUUAUCAUCCCUGUAAAAUCCUUCCUUCCGCCUGAAAAUCCUUCGAACGCUCGUCUGAAAAUCUGCUCUGUAAUUGAAGAGGAGAAAUCUACCAAAAGAGGAGAAAAACCAUAACAGUGGCAAUUGAUUACUCCACUCACAAGCACAAUCAAAAUGAAUCAAAUGGGUUCAAGAUCUGCAAAUUCAAACCCUUUAACCCCUAUCUUACCCAUCGAUUCUGCCUGAAAAUCCUCCGACCGCUCUGGCGUCGUCGUAUCCCAAUUU